CCUACGGGCGGCUGCCGUGGGGAAUUUUGGACAAUGGGGGCAACCCUGAUCCAGCCAUGCCGCGUGCGGGAAGAAGGCCUUCGGGUUGUAAACCGCUUUUGUCAGGGAAGAAAUCUUCCGAGCUAAUACCUUGGGAGGAUGACGGUACCUGAAGAAUAAGCACCGGCUAACUACGUGCCAGCAGCCGCGGUAAUACGUAGGGUGCAAACGUUAAUCGGAAUUAGUGGGGGUAGAUCUUCAGGACACGGGUAGAAUCCCCGGGCUUAACCUGGGAACUGCACUUGUGACUGUACGGCUGGAGUACGGCAGAGGGGGAUGGAAUUCCGCGUGUAGCAGUGAAAUGCGUAGAUAUGCGGAGGAACACCGAUGGCGAAGGCAGUCCCCUGGGCCUGUACUGACGCUCAUGCACGAAAGCGUGGGGAGCAAACAGGAUUAGAUACCCGAGUAGUC
rnacentral:rRNA from 1 species